UUUUCUGGAGAUUUUAUAUAC
rnacentral:piRNA from 1 species